GAGGGUGUAGCUCGGUGGUAGAGCGCAUGUUUACCUUGGUCCUGGGUUCAAUCCCCAGUACCUCCA
rnacentral:tRNA from 1 species